rnacentral:tRNA from 1 species
GCCUGGAUGGCUCAGUUGGUAGAGUGUGUGACUUUUGGUCUUAGGGUUGUGAGUUAGAUUUCCAGGCA